CGCUUGUGUGGGUGUGUGUGCGGGGGGCAUAUGGAGUAGGUCACACUCUGGAGUCAGGGCGAAGAAAUCUGGAGAAAUAUUUUUUUAAAAAGUCAUUGCCAUGAGAGUUGAACAGGAUUUUGAACAUGGGGAAACGUCUGAAAACUCGAGCCAAAUGCUGCUUAACCAGCUCAGAGAGAUUACUGGCAUUCAGGAUCUGCAGGUUCUCCAGAGCGCCCUGAACGCUAGUCAGGGUGAUAUCAGCCAUGCCAUUGGGCUGCUGACCACUCAGCCCCCGGAAGAGGAGCACACGCCCGAAGAACCAGCUAACGCCAAUAAUGAGAGGAACACCUCCAAUACACAGAACGGCCCUGCUAAAGAUGACCUGCAGACCGCCAUUGAGCUUAGUCUUCAGGAGUCACAGCAGGCCGAAGCGGAGCAGAGAGAGCUGCACAGGGCUCUUGAGGUUAGUGCAGAAGAGAAUGCGGCUCGCAUGAAAAGAAAGAGAUGUGAGGGGUCUGGAGAGAGCUGCAGCCCUGCUGACUGGAUCCGACAGGAGGACUGUCCUGUGGGCAUCCGUAAUGUGGGAAAUACCUGCUGGUUCAGCGCUGUCAUUCAGUCUCUGUUCCAUCUGCCGGUGUUCCGUAGACUGGUGCUCAAUUACUGCCUGUCUGAGCGUGUGCUGGAGAAAUGCAAAAGUCAUUCAGAGAAAAGAAACAUUGCCUUCAUGCAGGAGUUGCGUUGCUUGUUUGCUCUGAUGGUGGGCUCGAACCGUAGGUUUGUAGACCCCUCCGCAGCAGUCGAGCUUCUCAGGGAUGCAUUUAGAACCAGUGAGGCACAACAGGAUGUCAGUGAAUUCACACACAAGUUGCUUGACUGGCUAGAGGAUGCGUUCCAGCUGGCUGCUAAUGGAAAUAACCCAGAGGAUAAACAAAACAACCCCAUGGUCCAGCUGUUUUAUGGCACAUUUGUGGCUGAGAGACUUCAUGAAGGAAAGAUUGUGUCCAACAUUGAGCAAUUUGGACAAUACCCUCUCCAAGUGAAUGGCUUCAAUAAUUUAGACGAAUGUUUGGAGGGUGCCAUGGUUGAAGGAGAGAUUGAGUCACUUCAUUCAGAUCAGACAGUCUCCUCUGGGCAGGAGAGGUGGUUCUCCAAACUGCCACCAGUGCUGACCUUUGAACUGUCCAGAUUUGAGUUCAAUCAGUCUUUAGGGCGACCAGAAAAAAUACACAAAAAACUGGAGUUUCCCCAAGUGAUCUAUAUGGACAGAUACCUCCACAAAAAUGUUGAUCAGACCCAUGGUAGAAGAGGAGAAGUCAAGAGACUCAAGGACCAGUUAACAGUUCUACAACAGAAACUCGAGGGAUAUAAAAACUAUGGCUCAGGGCCAACCAAGUACCCCCUGGCAGACAUGUUGCAGUAUGUGCUGGAGUUUGCCACCACGAAACCCACAAAUGCAUCUCCAGCCUCAGUACCAGCAAACCCUUCUGUACACACAGAACCCAGCUCAGGUGACAGCAGUCAAACAGAACCAGACGAUGCAGGCUCAUCAGAUGGUUCAGGUAGCCCGCAGACAGCCACACAGAGGACUCCCAUACACAAGCCUUUUACUCAGUGCAGACCCCCCAUGGAGGUGCCACUGCAACCAGCCCCCCACAGCGUGACCGAGGAGGAGCUGUACUUCGUCAGGAGCUGCUUACAACGCUGGAGAGCAGAAGUCGAGAACACCAUAAACGAGCUGAAAGCCAGCAUUGACAAGGUCAGCCAGGCCCUGGAGGGCAUGUACUCAGAUAACAGUCUGUGUCAGGUGCCCUAUAGGCUACAUGCUGUGCUCGUCCAUGAAGGACAGGCCUCCGCUGGCCAUUACUGGGCGUACAUCUAUGAUCAUGCUAAUAAACGCUGGCUGAAAUACAACGAUGUUAUGGUGACAGAGUCAACCUGGGAGGAGCUGGUUCGAGACUCGUACGGUGGCAUGACCAAUGCCAGCGCAUACUGCCUCAUGUACAUCAAUGACAAGCUGCCAUACCUCAUAGCAGAAGACACGGACGAUGAGACAGGACAGGCUUUGAAAGGGAUGGACUCCCUCCCUUCUAUCCUGAGGCGUUAUGUUAGGGAGGAUAACCGCUGGUUCCAGCAAGAGCUGAAAGAAUGGGAAGAGCAGUUCUGCCAAGCCCAACGUGAAGAAGCGCAAGUUCAAACACCAACAGAGAAACCCGUUCAAGAAGAACCACAGAAUCCAGAACAAGUGCCAAACCCAGAACCAGAGCACGAACAAACAAAUGAAGUGGCCGCAGAACCACCUACAGAUUUAUCACCAGCACCUGCCCAGGACAGUGAAGAGCCUGUGGCCAAUUCAGAAGCUCUCGAUUCGGUAUCAACAGAGCCCAGUGAGAAUGUGGAAGAGGGAGGUGAAGAGCCUAUCACCAGUAGCCAGACACCAGGCCCGCCAGAUGAAGAGAAGCCAGAUCAGAGUCAGCAGCCUGUGGUGGAGUCAGCCACUAUAGACAGAUCUGAGUCAGAGGUUGAGGUGGAGGAGCAGGUCAUGAGUGACGAGGGAGGAGCAGAGGCAGAACCAGAAGCCCAGGCAGAGCCAGAGGCCUCGUCCACAGAGGAGAACCAGGCUGCAGCCGCACGCAGCCAGCCUGAGAAUGAAGUGUCUGAGGUCGAGAUACCCAAUGUAGGCAAGAUUCUGGUGCGCUCUGAUGCCGAUGGCUACAAUGAGGAGAUGAUGCUAACACCAGCCAUGCAGGGCGUCAUUUUUGCAAUCGCCAAGGCAAGACAGGCCUUUGACAAAGAUGGACCUGAAGCAGGACUCAUCAAGGCGUUCCAUGAGGAAUUUUCCAGAUUGUAUGAGCUGUCCCAGGAAGAGACCACACCACAGCAGGACCCUCGACUCCAGCAUGUUCUGGUCUACUUUUUCCAAAACCAGGCGCCUAACCGUGUCAUUGAGAGGACAUUGCUGGAGCAGUUUGCGGAUCGUAACCUGAGUUUUGAUGAUCGGGCUGUCAGUAUUAUGAGAGAAGCCAGAUGUAAACUGCGUCUCAUUAAACCAGAAGACAUGGACAUGGAUGAGUACUUGCAAUGGCAUGAUGACUACAGCAUGUUCAAGACAGUAUUUGCCUACCUGUUGACAGGCCUUGAGCAGUAUCAGAAUGGAAAGAUAAGAGAAGCUCUGAAUUAUCUCGCACACGCACACCAGGACAACUCAGUCCUGCUUCGGAAAGGGGAGAAGAAAGGAGUGGACCAGUCACUUAUAGCACUUUAUAGAAGAAAGUGUUUGAAAGAGCUGAAUGAGAACGCAGCCACGCUCUUUAAAAGUCAAGAUGAAAAUGAUGUGGCAGAGGCGGUGACCAUCAUGAAUGAAUGCAUCAUCCCUUGCAUGCACCUUAUGGUCAGAGACAGCGUCAGCCAAGAGGAUUUGGACAUCAUAGAGCUGAUCAGGAGUUGCUGGUGCUCCUACCUGGGACAGGACAUGGAUGAUUCUCUUCAGGAAAAGCUCAGUGAAUUCCUGCCCAGAGUCCUGGACUGUUCUGCAGAAAUGGUGGUCCUGAAGGAGCCCCCCAAAGUGAGGAACUCUCCCCACGAUCUGUGCAGCCGCCUGUCUGCUGUCAUGGAGUCCAUUCACAGCACCUCAGUCGUCACUGUGAAGUGAGGCCAGACGUAACAUAAUGCAAGGCAAGGCUGGAAACAAAAAAACACGGCACAGUCGCAAGGAAGAAGGUACCUGCUGUCUGUGAUGGUACACCUCCGUCUUUAACACAAUAGCUUUACAGAAUAGGUGCUCAGUGGUGAGAAUGAGGGUGGCAGAGAGUGAAACCUCAAAGAAACUCCAUCCAUCCACUGCUCACACAAGGCCACAGAAGAGGGCUCUGAUCAUCAGAACACAGUAAUGUGUCACGUGAGCAUGAUGAAAAAUUAUAUAAUAAUUACAAUGAAUGAACACAACCCUUUCUGGGAUACAAGUGUCUUUGAAAAUGCCUGAGUUGAGAUGAUUGUCAUUCUUGAUGGAAUAGAAAGAAGCCUGAGGGUUGUUAGAUCUCUGUUCUUCCAAUGGUUCAUCCAUGUACACAAACAAAGAAUUACACAGACGUUUUGGGAAUAUUGUCAGAGUUACAACCCUUUCUGUCUUUUUAUUAACAUUUGUCAGUUGUGUGAUAAUGUCUUCAUCUUUUUUUCAGGCACGGCAUGGUAGAACAUCAUACACCGCAAUAUUAGAGGUUGCCAAAAUCUGUAACCCCUCUGGAUUUCAUGAUGUCUAAUCUCAAAAACCAUUUUGGUCUGAUGUGAACAGCUUCACAUAUACAGCAGCAUCACUAAAUAAGAUAAGACAGUAUUAGAGGUUACCAAAAUCGGUUGCCCCUCUCUAUUUCACACACAAUGUAUGGAAUGUCACCCCAUUUCAAUCUGGUGAUGUCUUAACUUAUUUUUUAUAUCGUAGACAGCAUUUAGAUCUGAUGUUAAUAGCUGCACACAUACACUACCAGUCAAAAGUUUUUGAACAGUAAUAUUUUAAUGUUUUUUAAAGAA